ensembl:ncRNA F44A2.11 ncRNA
UAGUCAGUGAUUCAAAACAUUGGUGAAUAUUAGAAAAAUGUUUUCUGGUUGGGGAAUAUUUUACAAAGUUUUUAGAUUUUUCAUUUAGGAAAUAUUAUUCUGGCUGGAAAGUUUAACGGAUACUGUUC